rnacentral:rRNA from 1 species
UACAGAGGGGGCAAGCGUUGUUCGGAAUUACUGGGCGUAAAGGGCGCGUAGGCGGCCCGCUAAGUCGAACGUGAAAUCCCCAGGCUCAACCUGGGAACUGCGUCCGAUACUGGCAGGCUUGAAUCCGGGAGAGGGAUGUGGAAUUCCAGGUGUAGCGGUGAAAUGCGUAGAUAUCUGGAGGAACACCGGUGGCGAAGGCGGCAUCCUGGACCGGUAUUGACGCUGAGGCGCGAAAGCUGAGGGAGCAACGGG